UAAAAUCAUUUCCCCUUAAUCAGCCACCUCUGAAAUCCCUCUCUUCUCAAUCUCUCUCGAAACCCUAGCCUCUCUCUCCAUCUUCAACCUCAAUCCCCCUGGAAUCCAUGGACUCUCAGGCCAUGGAUGGCUUAAACUCAUCUCCCUAUGAUCUUUAACACUUGGUAUUCGAAGGUUCGAGGUCUAACCUCGAUGGUUUCCGUUUAGAUCUUCGCCAAUUCAAGGUUCUAUGUCCAUCUCUGGCCCAGCUCUAGCACACUAUAGUGUUUUGAGCCUGGUUCUGACUUAUCAACCUCAGAUCGAACUUUUUUCCAAAGUCUUUGUCAUUCUAGGGUUCUGCUGAAACCCUAACUAUUCGAGGUUUUCUUCCAUUUUUCUUUAAUCUGUUACAUAUUUGUACUUUACUUGGGUUUUUAAAUAAUUUCCCAAACUUUUCCUUCAAAAUAUUAUCUUUUAAAAUCACUCUUGUUCGAUUUAAAAUCACAACCCAAAGUUUUCAAAUGUUUCUCCGACUUUCAUUUUCCUUUCUUUGUGUGUAUUUGCCACGCAUGUGCUUCUACUGCUUUCUUAUGCUUUUUUAUAGUAUACAUGUUCUUUUAUGUUUCAUUUUCCUACUGUGUUUCUA
rnacentral:lncRNA from 1 species